AUACAGAGGGUGCAAGCGUUGUUCGGAAUUACUGGGCGUAAAGCGCGCGUAGGCGGUCUGUUAUGUCAGAUGUGAAAGUCCUCGGCUCAACCGGGGAAGUGCAUUUGAAACUGGCAGACUUGAGUACUGGAGGGGGUGGUGGAAUUCCCGGUGUAGAGGUGAAAUUCGUAGAUAUCGGGAGGAAUACCGGUGGCGAAGGCGACCACCUGGCCAGAUACUGACGCUGAGGUGCGAAAGCGUGGGGAGCAAACAGGAUUAGAAACCCCAGUAGUCC
rnacentral:rRNA from 1 species